CCUACGGGGUGCACCAGUGGGGAAUCUUGCGCAAUGGGCGAAAGCCUGACGCAGCGACGCCGCGUGGGUGACGAAGGCCUUCGGGUCGUAAAACCCUGUUGCAGGGGACGAAGGAAGUGACGGUACCCUGCCAGAAAGCCCCGGCUAACUACGUGCCAGCAGCCGCGGUAAAACGUAGGGGGCGAGCGUUGUCCGGAAUUACUGGGCGUAAAGGGCUCGUAGGCGGUAACUCAAGUCAGUUGUGAAAACCGACGGCUUAACCGGAGGAUUGCAGUUGAUACUGGGUUACUUGAGGCAAGGAGAGGAAGGUGGAAUUCCCGGUGUAGCGGUGAUAUGCGUAGAUAUCGGGAGGAACCCCAGUGGCGAAGGCGGCCUUCUGGUCUUGACCUGACGCUGAGGAGCGAAAGCCAGGGUAGCGAACGGGAUUAGAUACCCUUGUA
rnacentral:rRNA from 1 species